CUGGGUUUAAUGAUAAUUAGGCAAAGACUCAGCUUAUGCUAAAGGUUCGUACAGUUUAUUCACGAGAAAGUCCACAAUACAAAGACAUGCCAUUUUAUAACUCACUCCCUACUUACGCGCAUUCCUCCACACAAACAGUAGAUAGCCUACGCACAUACAUACACACGAACAGUAGGUAAAAUGUAUCCUUCCCCAUGGUUCUCACCACUGUUCAUCAUUACCAAACUGGCAGUUCCAUCCCCCCGAGAUUAGAGGAACCUUGAAAGGACUCCCUGUCCUAUCGUAAGUUUCUCAGAGUUCUAGCCAGGUCAAGUCAUACACAGUUUAAUUGUUCUCGGUAUCUUCUUAGUCACACACACACACACAUUUCUCUCCCUCACAUGUCUCUACCGAACCUUAUUGGACUUACAUUUAGUACUUUACGUUCAUUAUACAUGCUACAUAAACUAGUAAUCACUAAUAGUUACGUUUCAGGGUGGAAUUCUUUAAUAAUUACCUUUAAGCAUAUAAAUUGCCUUAUCAGUUAGCUAGUUUGCUAGUUUAGCUGGAUAAUUGUAGCUAGCGCUCUCUUAGCUCUCAGGAUAAUCCUCCAUGGACAUGGAAUCUUCUAACUUGGAUGGACGAGGGAAAAAAGGGAAGGAGUAGAGAAGUUAUCCAGCCUGCUGACUAAGAAAUGGAAAUAGCCUAUGCUUUGCUGUCUAUCUCUCUCUAUCUCUCUCCGUCUGUCUGCCUGCCUGCCUAACUGACAUAUUGCUGAAGGGCAACAUAGUCAAUGUACUUGCUAGGCUAAGCGUAACUUAGUGAAGACCUUGAUUUGUCUCUGUCUUUACAGUUCCUGAAACAUGUCAAUGGCCUGAUGCAUGGCCUCUACAGAGGUGGUUGGCCACCCACUCAGUUACCAGUGACCUAUUCUGCCACAUCCCAGGGAAUUGAGAGCGCAGGACCACCCCUUCUUAAAUCCAUAGUAAUUGACACAGAGGGUUCUACCUGGAACCCAAAACGGUUCAAACUGGAACCAAAAAGGCUUUGCCUAUGAGGACAGCUGAACAACCUUUUGGACCCUUGUUUCUAAGAGUGUAGUGUGCAAAAGCCUUGUGUCCUGAUUCAACAGACACCUCCCCUGGUGAGUCAUGUAAAGUUUCCUGAUUCAACAAAACCUCCCCUGGUGAGUCAUGUAAAGUUUCCUGAUUGAACAAACACCUCCCCUGGUGAGUCAUGUAAAGUUUCUCCCAUUUCUCUCUUGCUCAUUCUCUCUUUCACUCCCUCAAACUCACACACAUGCAGAUGUAGAGAAGAGGAAGAGAUAUACCAAUUACAUCAAUUUCUAACACUGUUUGUUGCAGGAAUUAUAUGACAGACGCAUAACCUUUUGAACAAUAUAAUAUUUUACUGUCGCUUUAUUGCCUCUUUACACAUACUUACAUUUUUGCAUUUAACUUU